GACGAACGCUGGCGGCGUGCCUAAUACAUGCAAGUAGAACGCUUAAGCUUGGUGCUUGCACCGAGCGGAUGAGUUGCGAACGGGUGAGUAACGCGUAGGUAACCUGCCUGGUAGCGGGGGAUAACUAUUGGAAACGAUAGCUAAUACCGCAUAAGAGUAGAUGUUGCAUGACAUUUGCUUAAAAGGUGCAAUUGCAUCACUACCAGAUGGACCUGCGUUGUAUUAGCUAGUUGGUGAGGUAACGGCUCACCAAGGCAACGAUACAUAGCCGACCUGAGAGGGUGAUCGGCCACACUGGGACUGAGACACGGCCCAGACUCCUACGGGAGGCAGCAGUAGGGAAUCUUCGGCAAUGGACGGAAGUCUGACCGAGCAACGCCGCGGGAGUGAAGAAGGGUUUCGGAUCGUAAAGCUCUGUUGUAAGAGAAGAACGAGUGUGAGAGUGGAAAGUUCACACUGUGACGGUAUCUUACCAGAAAGGGACGGCUAACUACGUG
rnacentral:rRNA from 1 species